AACGCGAAGAACCUUACCAGGUCUUGACAUCCUCUUGAAUACUUUAGAGAUAGAGUAGGCUUUCGGGACAAGAGAGACAGGUGGUGCAUGGUUGUCGUCAGCUCGUGUCGUGAGAUGUUGGGUUAAGUCCCGCAACGAGCGCAACCCUUGAUCUUAGUUGCCAGCAUUCGGUUGGGCACUCUAGGAUGACUGCCGGUGACAAACCGGAGGAAGGUGGGGAUGACGUCAAAUCAUCAUGCCCCUUAUGACCUGGGCUACACACGUACUACAAUGGCCGGUACAACGGGGUGCAAUACCGCGAGGUGGAGCGAAUCCUUAAAAGCCGGUCUCAGUUCGGAUUGCAGGCUGCAACUCGCCUGCAUGAAGUCGGAAUUGCUAGUAAUCGCGGAUCAGCAUGCCGCGGUGAAUACGUUCCCGGGCCUUGUACACACCGCACGA
rnacentral:rRNA from 1 species